rfam:Triticum urartu cultivar G1812 contig424686, whole genome shotgun sequence.
UUUUUAUGAUUUGUGGAAGAGGCUGAAAAUCUCGGGAGAGUGUGUGUUGUCGUCAGCUUUCCAAUGAGAUGGGAGUUAAAUAACGACAUGGAAUUU